CCUACGGGUGGCAGCAGUGGGGAAUAUUGGGCAAUGGGCGCAAGCCUGACCCAGCAACGCCGCGUGAAGGAAGAAGGCUUUCUGGUUUUUAACUUCUUUUAUCAGGGGCGAAACCCGUAACGGUCCCUUAUGACUAAGCCACGUCUACCUACAUGCCCGAAGCAGCGGUAAUCCGUCGGUGGCAAGCGUUAUCCGGAUUUACUGGGUGUAAAGGGCGUGUAGGCGGGAGGGCAAGUCAGAUGGGAAAACUAUGGGCUCAACCCAGAGCCUGCAUUUGAUACUGUACUGCUUGAGUGCAGGAGAGGCAAGCGGAAUGCAGGGUGUAGCGGUGAAAUGCGUAGAUAUAAGGAGGAACACCAGUGGCGAAGGCGGAUUGCUGGACAGUAACUGACGCUGAGGCGCGAAAGCGUGGGGAGCAAACAGGAUUAGAUACCCUAGUAGUC
rnacentral:rRNA from 1 species